rnacentral:rRNA from 1 species
UACGUAGGGUGCGAGCGUUAAUCGGAAUUACUGGGCGUAAAGCGUGCGCAGGCGGUUCGUUGUGUCGGCGGUGAAAUCCCCGGGCUCAACCUGGGAAUGGCCGUUGAAACUGGCGAACUGGAGUGUGGCAGAGGGGGGUGGAAUUCCGCGUGUAGCAGUGAAAUGCGUAGAGAUGCGGAGGAACACCGAUGGCGAAGGCAGCCCCCUGGGCUAACACUGACGCUCAGGCACGAAAGCGUGGGGAGCAAACAGG